rnacentral:rRNA from 1 species
GAUGAACGCUAGCGGCAGGCUUAACACAUGCAAGCCGAGGGGCAGCGCGGGAUAGCAAUAUCCUGGCGGCGACCGGCGGAAGGGUGCGUAACGCGUGAGCGACAUGCCCGUUGCCCGGGGACAACCGGUGGAAACGCCGACUAAUCCCCGAUGGGAUAUUGUGCCGCAUGGCACGAUAUUGAAAGUUACGGCGGCGACGGAUUGGCUCGCGUCCGAUUAGCUUGUUGGCGGGGUGACGGCCCACCAAGGCUGCGAUCGGUAGGGGUUCUGAGAGGAAGGCCCCCCACAAUGGGACUGAGACACGGCCCAUACUCCUACGGGAGGCAGCAGUGAGGAAUAUUGGUCAAUGGGCGGAAGCCUGAACCAGCCAGGCCGCGUGCGGGAAGGAGGCCCUAUGGGCUGUGAACCGCUUUUGCCUGGGGGCAAUAAGGGCGUCGCGCACGUCCGAUGAGAGUACCAGGCGAAUAAGCAUCGGCUAACUCCGUG